UCUUUACGGAGAAAGCUUUAUGCACCAUUGGAUGAGCCUGCACUUGAUUAGUUUGUUGGUGGGGUAAUGGCCUACCAAGACUUUGAUCAAUAGCUGAUUUGAGAGGAUGAUCAGCCACAUUGGGACUGAGACACGGCCCAAACUCCUACGGGAGGCAGCAGUGGGGAAUCUUGCACAAUGGAGGAAACUCUGAUGCAGCGAUGCCGCGUGAGUGAAGAAGGCCCUUGGGUUGUAAAGCUCUUUCGUCGGGGAAGAAAAUGACUGUACCCGAAUAAGAAGGUCCGGCUAACUUCGUGCCAGCAGCCGCGGUAAUACGAAGGGACCUAGCGUAGUUCGGAAUUACUGGGCUUAAAGAGUUCGUAGGUUGUUGAAAAAGUUGGUGGUGAAAUCCCAGAGCUUAACUCUGGAACUGCCAUCAAAACUUUUCAGCUAGAGUUUGAUAGAGGAAAGCAGAAUUUCUAGUGUAGAGGUGAAAUUCGUAGAUAUUAGAAAGAAUACCAAUUGCGAAGGCAGCUUUCUGGAUCAUUACUGACACUGAGGAACGAAAGCAUGGGUAGCGAAGAGGAUUAGAUACCCUCGUAGUCCAUGCCGUAAACGAUGUGUGUUAGACGUUGGAAAUUUAUUUUCAGUGUCGCAGCGAAAGCGAUAAACACACCGCCUGGGGAGUACGACCGCAAGGUUAAAACUCAAAUGAAUUGACGGGGACCCGCACAAGUAGUGGAGCAUGUGGUUUAAUUCGAAGAUACGCGCAGAACCUUACCAACACUUGACAUGUUCGUCGCGACUUUAAGAGAUUAAAGUUUUCGGUUCGGCCGGACGAAACACAGGUG
rnacentral:rRNA from 1 species